rnacentral:rRNA from 1 species
UACGGAGGGUGCAAGCGUUGCUCGGAAUUAUUGGGCGUAAAGGGUAGGUAGGUGGUCUCGUUUGUCUAGGGUGAAAGCCUUGAGCUUAACUCAAGAAGUGCCUUAGAAACGGCGAGACUAGAGUCCUGGAGAGGGUCGUGGAAUUCCCGGUGUAGCGGUGAAAUGCGUAGAGAUCGGGAGGAACACCAGAGGCGAAAGCGGCGGCCUGGACAGGAACUGACACUCAACUACGAAAGCGUGGGGAGCAAACAGG